rnacentral:rRNA from 1 species
CCUACGGGAGGCAGCAGUGGGGAAUAUUGGACAAUGGGCGAAAGCCUGAUCCAGCCAUGCCGCGUGUGUGAAGAAGGCCUUCGGGUUGUAAAGCACUUUCAGUGGGGAAGAAAGUCUUGGGGCUAAUACCCUCGAGGAAGGACAUCACCCACAGAAGAAGCACCGGCUAACUCCGUGCCAGCAGCCGCGGUAAUACGGAGGGUGCGAGCGUUAAUCGGAAUUACUGGGCGUAAAGCGCGCGUAGGCGGUCUGAUAAGCCGGUUGUGAAAGCCCCGGGCUCAACCUGGGAACGGCAUCCGGAACUGUCAGGCUAGAGUGCAGGAGAGGAAGGUAGAAUUCCCGGUGUAGCGGUGAAAUGCGUAGAGAUCGGGAGGAAUACCAGUGGCGAAGGCGGCCUUCUGGACUGACACUGACGCUGAGGUGCGAAAGCGUGGGUAGCAAACAGGAUUAGAUACCCGAGUAGUC